AGAGAAUAGUUUAUUAAAAAUAUUAAUUUUGGAGAUUAAUGAAAGGAGGCUCUCUUUUCUCUGA
rnacentral:tRNA from 1 species